rnacentral:rRNA from 1 species
CAGCCGCCGCGGUAAUACGUAGGUGGCGAGCGUUGUCCGGAAUUAUUGGGCGUAAAGGGAGCGCAGGCGGACAUAUAAGUCCAUCUUCAAAGUGCGGGGCUCAACCCCGUGAGGGGAUGGAAACUGUAUGCCUUGAGUGCAGGAGAGGAAAGCGGAAUUCCCAGUGUAGCGGUGAAAUGCGUAGAUAUUGGGAGGAACACCAGUGGCGAAGGCGGCUUUCUGGACUGCAACUGACGCUGAGGCUCGAAAGCCAGGGGAGCGAACGGGAUUAGAUACCCCCGUAGUCCCUGUCUCUUAUACC